rnacentral:rRNA from 1 species
GACGAACGCUGGCGGCGUGCCUAAUACAUGCAAGUAGAACGCUGAAGGAGGAGCUUGCUCUUCUGGAUGAGUUGCGAACGGGUGAGUAACGCGUAGGUAACCUGCCUGGUAGCGGGGGAUAACUAUUGGAAACGAUAGCUAAUACCGCAUAACAGUAGAUGUUGCAUGACAUUUGCUUAAAAGGUGCAAUUGCACCACUACCAGAUGGACCUGCGUUGUAUUAGCUAGUUGGUGGGGUAACGGCUCACCAAGGCGACGAUACAUCGCCGACCGGAGAGGGUGAUCGGCCACACUGGGACUGAGACACGGCCCAGACUCCUAAGGGAGGCAGCAGUAGGGAAUCUUCGGCAAUGGACGGAAGUCUGAACGAGCAACGCCGCGUGAGUGAAGAAGGUUUUCGGAUCGUAAAGCUCUGUUGUAAGAGAAGAACGAGUGUGAGAGUGGAAAGUUCACACUGUGACGGUAUCUUACCAGAAAGGGACGGCUAACUACGUG